rnacentral:tRNA from 1 species
CAGAAAAUAGUUUAUAAUAAAAUAUUAAUUUUGGAGAUUAAUGAAGGGGUUUUCCUUUUUCUGA